rnacentral:rRNA from 1 species
UAGUAAUCACAGGUCAGCAUACUGUGGUGAAUACGUUCCCGGGCCUUGUACACACCGCCCGUCACACCAUGAGAGUUGAGAAUACCCGAAGCCCAUGUCAAAGUGGUCGAAGGUAGGCUUGAUGGUUGGGGUGAAGUCGUAACAAGGUAAC